GUGCACUCAUCGUGAGAACACGUGUUGUCUUUUUCUAAAUUUAGACUUAAGAAGGAUCGAGAAAAAGUGAGGUUGUGACUGAAGAGGAUAUAGCAAGACUAUUAAGAGAUUAGGAAUAUAGGGAAUAUACAUAUGGCGAGGAUUUUGAAUCCCAUACGUUUGUGCCUCCGAGUCCUUUAACAUAUUAUAACCAGCAUUAUCAACGUUUAUCAGGACUACACGAGCCGAUUUUACAGCAUUCUCAAGGCAUGGCACAUCAUCCUGCCAUGUAUCCUGAUACUGCUGUGUCAUCUGAUCAUUUCAGGCCCCCGUCUCCUCCUGGCCCGCCCCCCUUUUCUUCAGUACUUGACACUAAAGUUGAAGAUUUUCAAAUUUUAAAAAUUUAUCCCGAGAGAAAUGAGAACCGGGUCCUUAAACUUGUAGUAUACAAUUUUCUUCCCAAACGAGAAUUGUUUUUGAAAAAUGCUUUUGGUAGGCCCGACGAAAAGCCAACCGGAGCACAAAUUAUCUUGAUACAAGGAAAUGGUGAUGGCCUUGCAUUAGUGCAAAAACGAGAACAUGGUCCGACAGUUUUUCGUGCACUAUUUACAAUACCUCCUUAUCCAAAAGGAAUACGAUCGAAAGUGAACGUAAGAAGCAACGAAGUUAAACCAUUGGAUCCACAAGAAGCCUGGGAAGUUCCAUGUGGAACUAAUUUAAAUGAUCUUUAUACAAAAAAGCGUGCAGGUGUUAUAUUUAAGCCCAAGAGAAAUCGAUCAAUUCGACAAAAAAUUUGAAGCAAACAGUUUUGACAAUUAACUUUGAAAAGGGGAAAAGCUACAACAUUUGUACGAAGAGAAAAAAGAAGACAAUAUCUAGUAACGUGGAUCCCAAGAACCAGAAAAACUUGAAGCAGCGCUGGUAUAAGAUUCUAGUCUUCGGCGUUGCCUCUGCCGGUCAUUAUUU